rnacentral:rRNA from 1 species
UUGGGCGUAACGCGAGCGCAGGCGGUUUGAUAASUCUGAUGUGAAAGCCUUUGGCUUAACCACAGAAGUGCAUCGGACACUCUCACACUUGAGUGCAGAAGAGSACAGUGGAACUCCAUGUGUAGCGGUGGAAUGCGUAGAUAUAUGGAAGAACACCAGUGGCGAAGGCGGCUGUCUGGUCUGCMACUGACGCUGAGGCUCGAAAGCAUGGGUAGCGAACAGGAUUAGAUACCCUGGUAGUCCAUGCCGUAAACGAUGAGUGCUAGGUGUUGGAGGGUUUCCGCCCUUCAGUGCCGCAGUAACGCAUUAAGCACUCCGCCUGGGGAGUAC